rnacentral:rRNA from 1 species
CGGACGACGCUGGCGGCGUGCCUAAUACAUGCAAGUCGAGCGAGGGAGCUUGCUCCCUAGCGGCGGACGGGUGAGUAACGCGUGGGCAACCUGCCCUUCAGCCCGGAAUAACUGUCGGAAACGAUGGCUAAUACCGGAUGAGGCAACCAAUUCGCAUGGACUGGUUGCGAAAGUUAAGGCGCUGAAGGAUGGGCCCGCGUCCCAUUAGCUAGUUGGUGAGGUAAUGGCCCACCAAGGCGACGAUGGGUAGCCGGCCUGAGAGGGUGAACGGCCACACUGGGACUGAGACACGGCCCAGACUCCUACGGGAGGCAGCAGUAGGGAAUCUUCCACAAUGGGCGAAAGCCUGAUGGAGCGACGCCGCGUGAGGGACGAAGGCCUUCGGGUCGUAAACCUCUGUCCCCAGGGACGAGAGAGGACGGUACCUGGGGAGGAAGCCACGGCUAACUACGUG